rnacentral:rRNA from 1 species
UAUAGUCAAGCAACUAAGCGCAUACGGUGGAUGCCUUGGCAGUCAGAGGCGAUGAAAGACGUGGAAGCCUGCGAUAAGGUUCGGGGAGCUGGCAAACAAGCUGUGAUCCGGGCAUUUCUGAAUGGGGAAACCCACCGACUUUCGGGUCGGUAUCUUGCACUGAAUACAUAGGUGUAAGAGGCGAACCGGGGGAACUGAAACAUCUAAGUACCCCGAGGAAAAGAAAUCAACCGAGAUUCCCUAAGUAGCGGCGAGCGAACGGGGACUAGCCCUUAAGCUAGACAACUGGUAGGAGAAGGCUCUGGAAAGUGCCGCCAUAGUGGGUGAUAGCCCCGUAUCCGAAACCUGAGUCUGGUGAAAUCGAGUAGGACGGGACACGUGAUAUCCUGUCUGAACAUGGGGGGACCAUCCUCCAAGGCUAAAUACUCCUGACUGACCGAUAGUGAACCAGUACCGUGAGGGAAAGGCGAAAAGAACCCCUGUGAGGGGAGUGAAAUAGAUCCUGAAACCGUAUGCGUACAAGCAGUCGGAGCGGACUUGUUCCGUGACGGCGUACCUUUUGUAUAAUGGGUCAGCGACUUAUGUUCAGUGGCGAGGUUAACCGUUUAGGGGAGCCGUAGGGAAACCGAGUCUGAAUAGGGCGAUUUAGUCGCUGGGCAUAGACCCGAAACCGGGCGAUCUAUCCAUGAGCAGGUUGAAGGUGCCGUAACAGGCACUGGAGGACCGAACCCACUGUCGUUGAAAAGCCAGGGGAUGACUUGUGGAUCGGAGUGAAAGGCUAAUCAAGCCCGGAGAUAGCUGGUUCUCCCCGAAAGCUAUUUAGGUAGCGCCUCGGACGAAUACCACAGGGGGUAGAGCACUGUUUCGGCUAGGGGGUCAUCCCGACUUACCAACCCGAUGCAAACUCCGAAUACCUGUGAGUACUAUCCGGGAGACACACGGCGGGUGCUAACGUCCGUCGUGAAGAGGGAAACAACCCAGACCGCCAGCUAAGGUCCCCAAGUACCAGUUAAGUGGGAAACGAUGUGGGAAGGCUCAGACAGCUAGGAGGUUGGCUUAGAAGCAGCCAUCCUUUAAAGAAAGCGUAAUAGCUCACUAGUCGAGUCGGCCUGCGCGGAAGAUGUAACGGGGCUCAAACUGGUCACCGAAGCUGCGGCUGCAUACUUUGUAUGCGGGGUAGGGGAGCGUUCUGUAAGCCUGCGAAGGUGUGUUGAGAAGCAUGCUGGAGGUAUCAGAAGUGCGAAUGCUGACAUGAGUAACGACAAUGCGGGUGAAAAACCCGCACGCCGGAAGACCAAGGGUUCCUGCGCAACGCUAAUCGGCGCAGGGUGAGUCGGCCCCUAAGGCGAGACCGAAAGGUGUAGUCGAUGGGAAACGGGUUAAUAUUCCCGUACCUUGGAUAGCUGCGAUGGAGAGACGGAGAAGGCUAGGUGAGCCGGGCGACGGUUGUCCCGGUUUAAGCGAGUAGGGAGUGGACUUAGGCAAAUCCGGGUCCACAAUCUCGAGACGCGACGACGACUGCU